GGGAGGAGCCCAGAGCCUGAAUCAGUGUGUGUGUUAGUGGAAGCGUCUGGAAAGGCGCGCGAUACAGGGUGACAGCCCCGUACACAAAAAUGCACAUGCUGUGAGCUCGAUGAGUAGGGCGGGACACGUGGUAUCCUGUCUGAAUAUGGGGGGACCAUCCUCCAAGGCUAAAUACUCCUGACUGACCGAUAGUGAACCAGUACCGUGAGGGAAAGGCGAAAAGAACCCCGGCGAGGGGAGUGAAAAAGAACCUGAAACCGUGUACGUACAAGCAGUGGGAGCACGCUUAGGCGUGUGACUGCGUACCUUUUGUAUAAUGGGUCAGCGACUUAUAUUCUGUAGCAAGGUUAACCGAAUAGGGGAGCCGAAGGGAAACCGAGUCUUAACUGGGCGUUAAGUUGCAGGGUAUAGACCCGAAACCCGGUGAUCUAGCCAUGGGCAGGUUGAAGGUUGGGUAACACUAACUGGAGGACCGAACCGACUAAUGUUGAAAAAUUAGCGGAUGACUUGUGGCUGGGGGUGAAAGGCCAAUCAAACCGGGAGAUAGCUGGUUCUCCCCGAAAGCU
rnacentral:rRNA from 1 species